rnacentral:lncRNA from 1 species
GAGAGGAGAAAAGGAGAGAAAGAAACCAAGUGAGCAACCACCAAGUUUCACCUUGAAUCACUUUCAUUUGAGCAAAAUCAAUGAAUCCUAACCGAUUAAACCUUCAUUUGAGUGCUUAGGUAGUUGUGUGUGAUAAAAGUUUGGGAAGAAAGUGUUUGGUUUCACACCUACAAGGGAGUUUUUGGCAGGUACAUGGCUGUCUUCUUCUUACCUCUUACUUAAAUUUGGUUAAAGUUGGAUAACAAUGCAUAUUUGUGCCAAAUGAUAGUUAUUUUAGUGAUUUGGAUGGAUAUGGUGCAUGUUCUUGAGUUAGGGUUGAGUUGGUUGACUGCAUUUGUUGUUGUUUAGGUGGUAUAUGGUGUAUAUAAUAUUGGAUAGGAGGUUGAGGUAGUGAUUCAACCUAGAAAUAUGAAAUUUGCACCUUAAAUUCAUUGAAUUCCAGAAUUAGAGCUCUUCACUACUUGGUUCUGUUCGGUCCUGUUCGACCAUGAUAGAGGCCAAAUUAGACUUAGCAUAAAACAUGAAAGUUGUAGAAAAUGAUGUUUUAUAGUUGUCUGCAAAAUUUCAGUUCAGUCAAAGUAGGGUAUCUUGUGAAAUGAUAAAAUUUCCCCUGCUGCCCUGUUUCUGUCAAAAAUGAUAAUCAGCCUCUGUAAGUGGUUAGUUUGACUAGGAAUAUUACCGAAUUGGUUAUUGAUGUCUUUUUAAGAAUUAUAGCCUUGUAUCUUAGCUUUCAAAUGGCUUUGGAAUUACCUGAAUUGGAGUUGUGUGUGCUGAGAUAUGAGUGAAUGAAUCAGGACUGCUAGUUGAAUUUCACAGUGAGCUUCGAACUGAAAAAUCUGGAGUUGUUUUGGUAAAUUUGACCUAGUUAGGGUGAGAACUGGAUUAAGUAGUCUUCAUCAAAGUUAUAGAUCUUUGUCUUAGCUUCGAAACAGUAUAAAUUGUACCUCAACCCGAUAAGCGUAGUCUCAGUUGUGUCCGUUACGCAAAACAACGUCAAAUCUGUCUUUUGUUUCUUAACAUAAACUCCAUUUCCACACAUGUUCCUAGCUUGAUUUUGUACUUGUAUUACUUUGAGCCUAUGGAAUGGCUAUUGAAAUGGAGAUUUUAAAGUUUUACAAGUGAGCAUAAGUUUUACAAAUAGUUUACUUAUGUCCUUUGGUUUCAAUGUACUCUUUUCACUACCAAAACCAUAUUUAUAUUUUGAACUAGUACGUAUUCGAAUUUUCGUUGAAUCACUUAAAUCUUUGAUGGUUGAAGCAUAAUGUGUUCAUUUGAUUAUAUUAGGAUACCUUGGUGAUUGACGGUGUAUCCGGAAGGAAACUUUGGACGUUAUUUUGCUUAAAUAAGUGAGUGUUCCUUGUUUGUUAUAUUUUCAUUGACUAUACGACUUGUUCUUGAUUAUAUGGCUUGUGGUGGAUGUAUGAUUACAUGUUCCAUGUUAUCAAUGACUAUUAAAACGAAUUUUACUAAGCGAGCGUGUAUUUUAUCGCACUCGACCUAAAUAAAUGUGAAAUUUUCAAUGAUUAAAUGCUAGUUGUGCAUGAAUGUAAGCCGUUUGACUGAACUGGGUCCUUGCCCUUUGUUACUUGUCGACUCGAGCCAGAAGCGAAUUCAGUCGGGCGAUUUGGUGACCCUGGGUGAACGUUUGGUAUACUCGAAUAUUACCUUGUUGUCGGGUGGAGCCUGGCCAACGUCCAGGAGGGGGUGAAUGAAAUGAACGAAUAAACGAGGAUUUUACUUACAAAAUUUCAUUUUCAAAUAAUUGGAGGAAUAAAGGGAAUGACAGGAGAACGAACGAAUGAACGAACGAAUAGCUCCAUGUGAGCCAUAUCCUUUUAAUGUAUGUGUUAUUGUCGCUUUCCAUUGUAAAUGUUUCUUGAAUUAUUGAUACUCUCUAUUUAAUGUAUUGGAUUGAUUGUUUGAUUAUGUGUUCGGAACCUCAUUGAGCUUUUAUCUCAUUCCUUUAGUUUUGUUUUCUUUAACAGGGGAAGGCGAGUCAGAAUGGGAGCUUGUAUGGACUAGCUAGGUCCAGUUCUUUGAAUUUUUUUUUUUAAUGAUUAUCGCCCUAGCGCUUGGCACGGGUUGGAUGUAUGAUGAAUUGAAAACCUUUGUAUAUUUGAAUCUGUACUCCUUGUGAGAUAGAAAUGUACAUAAGGUUGCUCUAAAUUUUGGAUUGUUA